ensembl:snoRNA
UUGUGAUGAAAGCUAAACUGAGAAAUGCUGGAAUUACCGGCAGAUUGUACAGUGGUGACCCUUGGUUUUCUGAAC